AGAACGAACGCUGGCGGCAGGCUUAACACAUGCAAGUCGAGCGCCGUAGAAAUACGGAGCGGCAGACGGGUGAGUAACGCGUGGGAACAUACCCUUCGGUUCGGAAUAAUUCAGGGAAACUUGGACUAAUACCGGAUACGGACGAGAGUCGAAAGAUUUAUCGCCGAAGGAUUGGCCCGCGUUCGAUUAGCUAGUUGGUGUGGUAACGGCGCACCAAGGCGACGAUCGAUAGCUGGUCUGAGAGGAUGAUCAGCCACAUUGGGACUGAGACACGGCCCAAACUCCUACGGGAGGCAGCAGUGAGGAAUUUCCGCAAUGGGCGAAAGCCUGACGGAGCGACGCCGCGUGUGGGAAGAAGGCCUUCGGGUCGUAAACCACUGUCGAAGGGGACGAUAAUGACGGUACCCGUUGGAGGAAGCCGUCGGCUAACUACGUGCCAGCAGCCGC
rnacentral:rRNA from 1 species